UCAGAGGUGUGCUCUUCCGACUUUUUUUGUAGAGCGUCAAAUUUCCUACAAGAACGUGCUUUGGUCCGCUAAUUUAAUAAGCCGUUGCAAAAAUACGAAAUUGCAAAUUUUAAAAAUAUUUAUUCCUGUGUUAUUUAAACGG